UACGGGGGGGGCAAGCGUUGUUCGGAAUUACUGGGCGUAAAGGGCUCGUAGGCGGCCAACUAAGUCAGACGUGAAAUCCCUCGGCUUAACCGGGGAACUGCGUCUGAUACUGGAUGGCUUGAGUUCGGGAGAGGGAUGCGGAAUUCCAGGUGUAGCGGUGAAAUGCGUAGAUAUCUGGAGGAAUACCGGUGGCGAAGGCGGCAGCCUGGACCGGCAUUGACGCUGAUGAGCGAAAGCUAGGGGAGCAAACGGG
rnacentral:rRNA from 1 species